AGCCGCCCUCCCCAGAGGCAUCGAUGUCAUCGACGCAGUGGGUGCGGGGCGACCAGGCAAUAGGAACAGGAACCUUGUAGAUUCUUCUCUUCAUGAUGUUGCACCUUGGUGUGCGCUAUUUUUUCACCGUGUUGGACACUUGGAAGGUUGCGACACCCCCUAAUCCAGAGAGGGUCCUGAUGCACACCCAAUGGAAGGAAUGCGUUCUCAGAGAGGCCAAGAAGAAUCUGGACAGACAACCCUGCUGGGCUUCCCCACUCAGUCUAUCGGCACUAGGUCAGACUCUCUUUCCCCCGAUUGUAUUUCUACAUAGCUAUCCAUCCUCCCCUUCUGCACAUUACAUUUUCUGCAAAACUCCAGAGAUCUGAUGGCUUUGGCCCCCACAUUUAAACUUAAUCCUCUAAUGCUUCUAUUGAAAUUUUCAAUUUCUCCUACUAUAUUUUUAAUUUCUAAGAGCUCUUCUUUAUUAUUUUA